rnacentral:lncRNA from 1 species
CAGACACGGCCGUGCAGCCAGCCUCCCCGCACACACAGACACGGCCAUGCAGCCAGCCUCCCCGCACCAGCCAUGGUCAGAAGACUUACUCCAAGUUGGGAAAUUCAGUGUCAGCAUGGCUGGGCAGCUCUUCUGAUGGGAGAAGGGGCAAGAGAGCCAGGUCUUGAGCCCCGGUCCUGCACAAGAGAUGGUCUUGUGCUCCAAGGUCUGGCUGCUGAUCAUGAACUCCUGUGGCCUCUAGUGGGGAGGGAGGGUCCCUGUGUCUGUGACCAGAGGAGAGACAGCCCUGGUUGCAGGAGACUGGACUUCUGAGUUGACCUUGCAUAGGCCACCAUUGGAGAGUGAUGGAUAUGAAUGGGAAGACAUGAGCUUGGAAUGGCACUCAAUCUACACGUUUCUUCCUUGGGAAUAAUGGGUAGAUGAAUGAAAAUGUCUAGCCUCUCUGGACCACAAGGUAAAUACUCUGUGCCCUCAGAGAGUACAGUAGUCCUAGUGGUCUUAACUUUUAGGGUUUUGUUUUACCUGAGAGUCAUAAAGAUGUUGAACUUGUUGCCCAGUAAAAACAAAAAAAGUCCCUACAUGAACACAUAAAAAAUUUGCACACAAGUUCAAGAAACUCAAGGAUAUCCUGAACCCCAUAAAUUGAAUUCUAGUAAGCCUCAGUUAAGAGUUUUGGUGAAGUGAGAAGUGCAUUGUGUUUGGACAGAGAAAAACAAAAUUCACCAACAACAAUCUGAGUAGGUCACUUUACUCCCAGAACCUGUUUCCUCAGCUGGUAAAUAGGGGUGGAAGCAAUACAUCUGCCUGCUCAAGAUAUUGUGAGGUUCAAACAAGUUAAUGAAAGUCAAAAUGCAAUGUAAACUGUGAAAUGCUUUCCUCUCAAGGGGAUGUUUAGUUUAACCAUCAUUAUUUCUGUGGAUCUUUAGAAAGCUGGUUGGACUUUAUUUCAUUCUUUUUCAUGGCUGUGUAGUAUUCCCUGGGGUGUGUGUGUGUGUGUGUG